GUGGUUCUUAAAUGACAUACAGACAAUAUAGUACAAAAUAUUUUUUUCUCUAUUAACUGUUGGUUGGUGGUAGGUUGAAUUUUCAUAUCAAACUACCAACAAAUAGUCAAAUCGAUAUAGUAAUAAUAGCUAGUAUUAUUAUAUAAUAAUAAUUGUUGUACUAAUAGGUAUCCAUUGAUAUAUAUAUAAAUUAUUUUUGGAGUAGCUUGUCACCAUAAAAAAUAUGUAAUUUGUUCGUUGACUUUAAGCAUAGUUGAAAGCUCUGCUCAUGUCCUAGGGUGGGCACCACACUAUUGUGGGAUAAGCACAUGCCACCUAGCCCACCAUUGAAUAUAUCUAUGCUAAUAUUUUAAGGUUCUUUUUUAAUUUUAUACAGAUUUUUGCAAUUGAUUAUAAAGAUUUUAAGGUAUUUCGAGACAUAUUUAACGGUAAAUAUUUUUAAUAGUUAGCAACCCUAUUUUGAGUUGUUUUGACGUUUGAAUCGCACAACAAAAUUUUACGCUAAUUUUAUAUUAUGUUUUAUAAUUCUUUUUAUUCUUUUCUAAUAUUUUUUUUUUAAUUCGUUAUUUUCUGUGACUGUCGACGUUGUUCGAAACAAGAUUUAUAAACAAAUACCUGUCUUUUUAUUUCCUCCACCAAUUAAAUAUUUCAAGUGUAGUGAAAAUUUAAGAAUCUAUUAUUUUACUUAUUUUAUAUUAUUUAUAUAAUAAAAAUUUUGCUGAUAAAUAUUGCUUCAAACAUUGUAUUUUUUAGUCCUCAUAAUAUAUUCUAUCAUGUUUUUAUAACUUCAGGUAAUAGAAAAGGGUGAGGAAAGAGAUGCAAAAUGUAGGGUGCUAUAAAAAAGGGGUAAGUUGUUUAACCCUUUCAUUUUUUAGCACACGCGCAAAAGGGUGUGGGUUUGGUUAUCCAAUAGCAAUGUAGGGAUUCUGAAUUUUUGAAUUUAUUCGUCCGGAGUGCACCGCUACCGCUGCUCGGUGGGUGUCCACUAUGCCCCGGCAGUGUUACGUUGUAAUUGAAUGGAUCCACUUGAUUCCCAUUUGAAUAUCAACAAACAGCGAGUGACAUGUGGAAGUGUUAACAUUCCAAUUAUGAAUAUUCAUGUCAUUUUUAUAAUAGUAUUGGAAUUCACAGUGGUAUUUUGUAUUGAUAAAAUGCUGAGUUUAUUUAACAGAAAAAACUGGGUUAGUGCUACAUUUAUGGAUUGCUGUUGGAUUGUGUAUUAUAUAAUUUUAGCAGGACGCUGCGAUUUUGGCACCGUAUUCAACUCGAAGAUAUUGCAACAGAUGUUAGAAGCUGCAAACAGGACGUGCGCAACGAGCUGCAUGCUGUCUACAAGGAACUUCCUAUCAGAUACAGCGGUCAGAUGUCGAACGCAAGAUAAUAAACGUUUCAAAUGACAAGUGUUUUAAAAACUGGAGCUCCCCUACUCAAUUACUGUGUAGUCAACGAGAUAACGCCGCGAAAAAUUCGUGAGCGGAAACAGAACAACUCCAGUGCCUAGAUUUUAACUUGAGAAGCAAAUUAAGCAGCAUUGAGUGCUCGCUACGUCUACGUGCUCGUAGCUCGCCCGCCCGGCCUACCUGUCAUUCGUUGCAGGUUACCACGCUAUGCUCUACGCACACUAUGCAGGACAGGCGUUGGGGACAACUCGUCCUAAAGUGUCCUGAUGGAACCCAUUUGACGGACAAUCUGCGGAGCUGAUGUGAGAUUAGGGCCGGACUUCGCACCCUCUGCCGCUGGGAGAUCUCGCCAACGGAACAGCUACGACCACUGGACGGCCCGACCCUGAUCGAAAAGUAAAUGGAAACUCAUUCAGCAUGUUCUUUUUAUUGUAAUUGUUUAUAUUGUGUGCUUGCAUUAAAUUAUAUUGUCUCUAU